rnacentral:rRNA from 1 species
AUACGGAGGAUGCAAGCGUUAUCCGGAUUUAUUGGGUUUAAAGGGUGUGUAGGCGGUUUGCUAAGCGGGAGGUGAAAUGCCGGCGCUCAACGUCGGAAGUGCCUCCCGAACUGGUGGACUUGAAUGACUCUGCCGUGGGAGGAAUGUGUAGUGUAGCGGUGAAAUGCUUAGAGAUUACACAGAACACCGAUUGCGAAGGCAUCUCACGAAGGGUUGAUUGACGCUGAGGCACGAAAGCGUGGGGAUCAAACAGGAUUAGAUACCCUGGUAGUCCACGCAGUAAACGAUGAUGGCUAACCGCUGGGCUUAUCAGUUCAGUGGCCAAGCGAAAGCGAUAAGCCAUCCACCUGGGGAGUACGACCGCAAGGUUGAAACUCAAAGGAAUUGACGGGG